rnacentral:rRNA from 1 species
UACGUAGGGUGCAAGCGUUGUCCGGAAUUAUUGGGCGUAAAGAGCUCGUAGGCGGUUUGUCGCGUCGAAUGUGAAAACCCGGGGCUCAACCCCGGGCCUGCAUUCGAUACGGGCAGACUAGAGGUAUGCAGGGGAGAACGGAAUUCCUGGUGUAGCGGUGAAAUGCGCAGAUAUCAGGAGGAACACCGGUGGCGAAGGCGGUUCUCUGGGCAUGAUCUGACGCUGAGGAGCGAAAGUGUGGGGAGCGAACAGG